ensembl:lncRNA
CCGGGCUGCCCCGCAGCGCUCGGCCCGCGGCGGAGGGCGAAGUCGGGCGGUCGGUCGUGAUUCAGCGCUUCUGUUUUUAACCGGCCCGUGCCCGGUUCGGUGUCGCGGGGAUGAAGGGCUCCCAGCGCCGCGCCGGUGCCUCGUUGGGCGUUCGGAGCGAACGUGAGGUAAUUUCUGCUUUUUGGUUGGUUCUUUUUUUGUUGUUGUUGUUGUUUUUGUUUUUUUUUUUUCCUUCAGGCUUUGCGCUCGGAGGGAAAACCCGGUUUAAAACGAAAGCCCCUCCGCAGCGCUUUCCCCACCUCCCGCGCACGCUGUGGUGGAGAGAGGGGCAGAACGGCGGUGUUUCCCUUUGGACGACGAGCGCCGGCUGACGGCCCGCCGCCCCCAGGCACUGCCACGGCACCACAGAUGGCCUCAGCUGUGCCGGGGGAGGAACGGGUUGGGUGUCAGGAAGCGUUUCUUGCCACAAAGACCAGUGAUGCUGUCAGCGCUGGGCACCUGCGUGAGGAAACGCCGGCGCAGCUAAAGCAUGCAGUCUCAUGGACAGAGGAUGAGGAUUGCAGCAUGUGGAGCUCAUUUGUCCCCAGAUGUCACCACUUCACAGAGGUGGAGGGACUGAGGGGACACCUCGCUGCCUCUCUGGGGCAGACAGCCUUCCUGACCACUGAAGUAAAGCAGCAGAAUAGGAGAAAUGUGGAAAACAAAACCAACCAUACGAGUUUAUGGUGCCUGAAGACUCGUCCUUUACAAUUUACCUCGGUGGAUUGGAAAAUAGGAGAUCUGAUGGAAUGUUCUCCAUCAAAGCCCCAAACUUUUUGUUUCGCAUUUCGGCUCCUGCCAAACUUGACAAAAGUCUGCCACAAAACGGAAGUCUCCUACUUUUGGAAGCACACCUCUGGACUUGGAGUC